rnacentral:rRNA from 1 species
GACGAACGCUGGCGGCGUGCUUAACACAUGCAAGUCGAACGGACAGGCCCUGCUCUUGUGCGGUGGUCGAGUGGCGAACGGGUGAGUAACACGUGAGUAACCUGUCCCUGUCUUUGGGAUAACUUCAGGAAACUGGGGCUAAUAUCGGAUAGGAUCUCCUGCUGCAUGGUGGGCGUUGGAAAGUUUCGGCGGUUGGGGAUGGACUCGCGGCUUAUCAGCUUGUUGGGGGGGUAGUGGCAUACCAAGGUUUUGACGGGUAGCCGGCCUGGGAGGGUGACCGGCCACAUUACGCCUGAGCUACGACCCAGACUCCAACCGUACGCAGUGGUGGAGAGUCUUGCACAGUAGGCGGGAGCCUGAUGCGACCGCGCCGCGUGCGGGAUGACGUGCUUCGGGUUGUGAACCGAUGUCGCCUGUGACGAGGCGUGAGUGACGGUAACGGAUAAAGAAGCCCCGGCUAACUACGUG